rnacentral:rRNA from 1 species
GUUGGUGGGGUAAUGGCUUACCAAGACUAUGACACAUAACUGGUUUGAGAGGAUGAUCAGUUACACUGGAACUGAGACACGGUCCAGACUCCUACGGGAGGCAGCAGUGGGGAAUAUUGCACAAUGGACGAAAGUCUGAUGCAGCAACGCCGCGUGGAGGAUGACACAUUUCGGUGCGUAAACUCCUUUUAUAUGAGAAGAUAAUGACGGUAUUAUAUGAAUAAGCACCGGCUAACUCCGUGCCAGCAGCCGCGGUAAUACGGGGGGUGCAAGCGUUACUCGGAAUCACUGGGCGUAAAGAGCAUGUAGGCGGAUUAAUAAGUUUGAAGUGAAAUCCUAUAGCUUAACUAUAGAACUGCUUUGAAAACUGUUAAUCUAGAAUGUGGGAGAGGUAGAUGGAAUUUCUGGUGUAGGGGUAAAACCCGUAGAGAUCAGAAGGAAUACCGAUUGCGAAGGCGAUCUACUGGAACAUUAUUGACGCUGAGAUGCGAAAGCGUGGGGAGCAAACAGGAUUAGAUACCCUGGUAGUCCACGCCCUAAACGAUGUACACUAGUUGUUGUGAGACUUGAUCUUGCAGUAAUGCAGUUAACACAUUAA